AACGGGUGAGUAACGCGUGAGCAACCUACCUUAGUUACUGGGAUAGCCCGAGGAAACUCGGAUUAAUACCGGAUAUUCUUAUUUAAUCACAUGAUUUUUUAAGGAAAGGUCAGCCGAACUAAGAUGGGCUCGCGUUCUAUCAGCUAGUUGGUAGGGUAAUGGCCUACCAAGGCUACGACGGAUAGCUGGUCUGAGAGGACGAUCAGCCACACUGGGACUGAGACACGGCCCAGACUCCUACGGGAGGCUGCAGCAGGGAAUAUUGCGCAAUGAGCGAAAGCUUGACGCAGCGACACCGCGUGUGGGAUGACGGAUCUAGGUUUGUAAACCACUUUCAGGAGGGAAGAAAAUGACGGUACCUCCACAAGAAGCCCCGGCCAACUACGUGCCAGCAGCCGCGGUAAUACGUAGGGGGCGAGCGUUGUCCGGAUUUAUUGGGCGUAAAGAGCUCGUAGGCGGUUCAACAAGUCGGUCGUGAAAGUUCAGGGCUCAACCCUGAAAUGUCGAUCGAUACUGUUGUGACUAGGAUACGGUAGAGGUGAGUGGAAUUCCGAGUGUAGCGGUGAAAUGCGUAGAUAUUCGGAGGAACACCAAUUGCGAAGGCAGCUCACUGGGCCGCUAUCGACGCUGAGGAGCGAAAGCUAGGGGAGCAAACAGGAUUAGAUACCCUGGUAGUCCACGCCCUAAACGAUGUUUACUCGAUGUUGGCC
rnacentral:rRNA from 1 species